rnacentral:lncRNA from 1 species
CCAUGAACCAAAGGAUUCCUAAUAUAGGGAUGGAGUUGAUACAUCAAACUUUUAAGAGUGAGUCUCCUUACUUUAGACAUUUUGAGGAAAAAGAAAAAGAAAGAAUGGAAAGGUGAAGUCCGGACGACCCAUCAAACUUGCAUCAUAUGUAUUAUUAUAAAUUCAGAACUGGUAUUUUCAUAUGUAUUAUUAUAAAUUCAGAACUGGUAUUUAGAAGGCUAGGUGAAUCAUCCCUUUUCAAGAUCCACUCCAUCUUCAUCAGUAUUUCAUGUGAAACACACUAGUUAUGUUAAACAGGAAGCCCUUCGUCCUUUCCAGAU